rnacentral:rRNA from 1 species
GACAGAGGGUGCAAACGUUGUUCGGAAUUACUGGGCGUAAAGCGUGUGUAGGCGGCUUUGCAAGUCAGGUGUGAAAUCCCCGGGCUCAACCUGGGAAGUGCACUUGAAACUGCAGAGCUUGAGUAUCGGAGAGGUUGGUGGAAUUCUCGGUGGAGAGGUGAAAUUCGUAGAUAUCGAGGGGAACACCAGUGGCGAAGGCGGCCAACUGGACGAAUACUGACGCUGAGACACGAAAGCGUGGGGAGCAAACAGG